rnacentral:rRNA from 1 species
AGAGUUUGAUCAUGGCUCAGGACGAACGCUGGCGGCGUGCCUAAUGCAUGCAAGUCGCACGCGCCACCUUCGGGUGGUGAGUGGCGCACGGCUGAGGAUCACGUGGGAACCUGCCUCCUUGUGGGGGACAACACGCCGAAAGGCGUGCUAAUCCCGCAUACGCUCGCGCAAGCGAGGAAAGCGGCAACGCGCAGGGAGAGUGGCCCGCGGCCCAUCAGGUCGUAGGUGGGGUAAUGGCCUACCUAGCCGAUGACGGGUAGCUGGUCUGUGAGGACAGACAGCCAGACUGGGACUGAGACACGGCCCAGACUCCUACGGGAGGCAGCAGCAAGGAAUUUUCGUCAAUGGGCGCAAGCCUGAACGAGCAACGCCGCGUGGAGGAUGACGGCCUUCGGGUUGUAAACUCCUUUUGUGGGGGACGAUCGUGACGGUACCCCGCGAAUAAGGCUCGGCUAACUCUGUGCCAGCAGCCGCGGUAAUACAGAGGAGCCAAGCGUUGUCCGGAUUGACUGGGCGUAAAGCGCACGCAGGCGGGUGCGCGCGUGGGGUGUGAAAUCUGGCCGCUUAACGGCCAGGCGCCAUCCCAUACGGCGCGCCUGGAGCCUUGCAGAGGGCGGUGGAAUUGCCGGUGUAGUGGUGAAAUGCGUAGAGAUCGGCAGGAACACCCAGGGGGAAACCAGCCGCCUGGGCAAGCGCUGAC